ensembl:lncRNA
AAAUAUACUAAUUAAACUGUCCUAAUGUCUACAAUUAAAUUUUUCGUUUCUGCUGGAACUAGAUUUUGUCAAGUAAAAUUACAUAGUGCGUUUGAAUCAGCGCAUGCGCAUUGGGACAAACGAAAGAACCGCGCAGAUGUCCAUUGUCCGUUCGUUGGCAGCAGACAGAGUUGUGAAUAUCUCCGGAAUCUCUCAGGCGACUGUUUUUGUAUUUAGCCGGCUGGGACAUGAGGUGACCAGAGAGUCAGGAGCGCUGGGCUGUUCAGUGACUAAUCAAAUACUGCACCGUUGUGAUUAGGCAAGUACAAAUACACUGCAUGUAUGCAUGACACAAUUUUGCUGUUUUUAUUGUUCAUCCAUUCUACAGUUCAGAUCAAGAUCUACAGAUCAAGGAGGAGUUUUGGAGAAUAACUACAAUUUCUCUAGAGCAAAGCUUCAUGUACAAACUAGACCACUAUACACCAAAGCUUACUGCCCUGAUGAAAGCCAAGGGAGGUGUUGUGGGGACCAGGCUGAGGCCCCAUCUGGAUAAACUGAGUCAGAACCCAAGCACUGACAUGAGACGUGACGCAGUAAUCCGUGGCCUCAUACUAUUCCUUGGUGAAAAAGAAGAGAAACUUUUCGAAGAUUGCCUGGAGGACAAUCGCAGUGAUGCCACUCAACACAUAGUCAAGAUCCUGGUUGUCCAUGGUACUGAUGGAGAAGAACCAGUAGAUGUUUCCAUCAUUCUUGAAGGGAAGGAGGUAUUGACAGGAUGC